rnacentral:lncRNA from 1 species
GGCCAGGGGACUUCUGCAUGCCUUGGGUGCUGCCAAAAAAAGAAAAAAAAAAAGUCAUAACAAGUGAAAAGACAAAAUUUGAAGUUCCUGUUGUGGCUCAACGGGUUAAGAACCCGACAUACUGUCUGUGAGAAUAUGGAUUUGAUCCCUGGCCUCAUUCAGUGGGUUAAGGAUCCGGCAUUGCUGCAAGCUGCAGUGUAGGUCGCAGACGUGGCUCGGAUCCUAUGUUGCUGUGCCUGUGGUGUAGGCCGGCAGCUGCAGCUCCAAUUCAACCCCUGGCCCUUAAAAAGAAAAAAAAAAAAAAAGGAAAUAGUUCAAAAGUCAUACCAAAGUGAUGGAGUUGUCUUGUGGCCCGGCAGGUUAAGGAUCAGAGGCUCUCACUGUAGUGGCUGGAGUCACUGCUGUGGCAUGGGUUCAGUCCCUGGCCAAGGAACUUCUGCAUGCCUCAGGUGCUACCAAAAAUUUUUUUAAAAAAGGGGAGUUCCCGUUGUGGUGCAGUGGUUAACGAAUCCGACUAGGAACCAUGAGGUUGCGGGUUCCAUCCCUGGCCUUGCUCAGUGGGUUAAGGAUCUGGCGUUGCCGUGAGCUGUGGUGUAGGUCGCAGACUCAGCUCGGAUCCUGCAUUGCUGUGGCUCUGGCGUAGGCUGGCAGCUGCAGCUCCGAUUGGACCCCUAGCCUGGGAACCUCCAUAUGCCGCAGGAGCGGCCUGAGAAAUGGCAAAAAGACUAAAAAAAAAAAAAAAGUCAUAACAAAGUAAAAAGACAGGCAAAGAGAAGUCUUGCCUCCCUUACCUCUGUGUAUGCAGCCCCAUGGCUGCAGAGGGAAGAGGGGCAGGACUUCACUUUUUUUUGGCUGCUCCCACAGCAUGUGGAAGUUCCUGUGCCAGGGAUCAAACCAGAGCCACCAAAGCAACCCCAGACACUGCAGUGAAAACUCUAGAUCCUUCAGCACUAGGCCAUCAAGGAAUCCCAUGAUCAUCUUUUCGUAUUUCCCGCCCCUUUUCUUACCCAAAAGUAAGCACUCCGCACGCACUGUCUUGGGCCCUUCUUUCUCAUAAACAAUGUCUCCUCGAGCUUUUCUAUAUCAGCAUACCUGUUCUCUCUGUCUUUUCAUUGCCACAUAAUAUUCCACAAAAUUCCAAAAGGAAGGAGCUUUUGGAAUGUAUUUAAGCAGUCUGUGAGAACUUAGGUGUUUUCCAGACAUCUGGUAUUAAAAAUGAUGUUUCAAAUCAUUUUUGAAAUUUCAAAAAUUUUUAGAGUCCUGCGCCAGCAAAUAGCUUUCUACCUGUGACAUUGCAUGUGUCCGAGUAUGUCCGUCGGGUGAAUUCUGUACAGUAAUUGAAAUAAGUGAAGUAGAACCACUGGGGUCAGCGGGAGAAGCCAUUUGUCAUUUGAAUGGAUGUUGCCCAAUUUCCUUCCAUAGCGUGCUCUGUGCUGCAGCCCCACCAGCCGGAGAAAAUCUCUCCCUAGAGAUCACUGAAAGAGUGGGGCUGGUGCCACCUUUGGAUUCCUUGUGCCUCUGAUUUUGAAAAGUCCAGCGCCAGGAAUGUGUGAUUUUCUAUGCUCUCGAUCUGAGAUCACUGAACAAACAUAUUCACUGAAACCCAGCUGAACCAAGGAGCGGUGUAGGCUUUGGGAUCCUGAAAAGUGCUCUCCACGUGGAGAUGAUCUUUUGGCAGAAAAAGGCACAGUAACAAGUAGGUAUACGAUGAACAGGGAGGGAGAGAGAGGCCAGGAAGAACCUCAGUGCAGAAGAGGAAAUACAGGAAUUCUCAUUGUGGCUCAGCAGGUUAAAGACCCGCCGUUGUCUCUAUGAGGACUGCUGUUCGAUCCCUGGCCUCACUCAGUGGGUUAAGGAUCCGGUGUUGCUGCAAGCUGCUGUGUAGUUUACAGAUGCAGCUUGGAUCCAGUGUUGCUGUGGCCGUGGUGUAGGCCGGCAGCUGCAGCUCCAAUUAGACCCCUAGCCUGGGAACUUUCAUAUGCUGCAAGUGUGGCUGUAAAAAGAAAAAUAAUAAAGGAGUUCCCUUUGUGGCUUAGUGGGUUAAGAACCCGACUAGUGUCCAAGAGGAUGCAGGUUCUAUCCCUAGCCUUGCUCAGUGACCCUAAAAAAGAAAAAAAAAAAAGUGAUAUAAAGGCAGAGGGAGGUGCCCUUGUGGGCUCUCCCAGGAGGUGACAUUUAUGCAGAGACACACUUCACGGGAAAGACUGUUCCAGGCAGAGGGACCAGGAGAUGGAAAGACGGAGAAUGCAGAGGUGUCGGGAGGAGGGGGCUGGUAGAGAAAGUCCUCCCCUCCCCCCAAAAAAAAUCCUCAAAGUGGGGGAGGGUCGGGAGAUAGACUACACUAGGAAUGAAAAUCUUGAUUCAUUUUUCAGAUCUAAUCCCACAACCUACUCUAAAACAGAAAGCCUGUCUUAAUUCCUUGUCCUCUGCAUGUACCAGGGACAAAUACCUGAUGCUCAGUGGACUCCUGCUGCAGAGCCCACUGCUUAACCUUCCGGAAGAGCCUCCUAGCUCUGCAGCUCUGACAUCUUGGUCAGUGUCUUACUUAGUCAACUUGAGGCGAGUCCUGGGGAGCCCAGAGGAAAAGCAUCCCAGCUCUUUCAGGUGUAACCGUGACAUCUCCAAUUAUAAUGGAAAUUUUGUUCCUUGGAGAGGAAGGGAAAUGCUGAUGGGAAGAGAUGACAGGUACAAAAUGAGAUGUGCGCACUAGAGAGGGUUUUUUUCCCCCAAGGAAUUGUCUAGGGGAUGGGAGGACUUUUCCUUUAAUUGAACAAAUACUUUCAGACACCAGGUCCCACCUCCCUUUGGCAAAGCCCACACUUGCGCAGCCACCAGCGGUGGACUCAGAGCCCAGAAUCGCUCAGCCCUCCUUCUCCCCUUGCGGGUGACCAGGAGGUGAUGGAGAGAAAGUCACCUCAGCGGACAAACAGCUUCAGGGCCAAUCUGUCGCCAAAGGGAGACUUUGUAGACAGCAGCAUUUCCUUUUGCGUGAUCGAAGUUAGCUUUGCCUUUCCUGUUGUUUCCAGACUCCAAAGCCUGCCAUGCUGUUGCCAAAAGCUGCAGUGUAGGUCGAAGAUGCAGCUCGGAUCCUGUUUUGCUGUGGAUGUGGUAUAGGCUGGAAGCUACACCUCUCAUUCAACCCCUAGCCUGGGAUCCUCUGUAUGCCACAGGUUUAGUCAUUAAAAAAAAAAAAAAAGCUUGGCAGACUGACUUGGUAGCAGUCAGAACAAUCAGAAAUGCCAGCAGGGAGCUCCCGUUGGGGCUCAGUGGGUUAAGAACCCAGCAUUGUCUCUGUGAGGAUGCAGGUUCUAUCCCUGACCUCGCUCAGUGGGUUAAGAAUCUGGCAAUGCCACAAGUUGUGGCAUAGGUCAUAGAUGUGGCUCGGAUCCAGUGUUGCUGUGGCUGUGGUGUAGGCAGGCAGCUGCAUUUCGAUUCCACCCCUAGCCUAGGAACCUCCAUAUGCCACGAGUGCGGGCCUAGAAAGACAGAGGUGCCAGUGAUGUAUCCAGCACACAAAGGCAGAGCAAAAUCCCUUUCUUGCAAAGACAGAAGUAUUGAUUCCCCCUUGUGGAUCCAGCUGAGUUUAGGGCUCCCUAAAUCCCAGGCACCAGAGAUGUUUAUGAAAGAAUUUUUUAUAAUUGGAUAGUUCAAGAGAUAUCAAAGCAGUAAUUAGGGGGAAAACCUGUUUCUAUUUAUGUUUAUUAAGAACUCUUUUUACUGUGCUCUAAGCACCUUAAUAAUAUGUCCUCAUUUAAUCCUCCUAAGGAUUUAGAAUCUAGGUUCUAUUAUCCCUUCAUUCUAAGAUAAGGAAACUGACUCAGAGAGCGAGAGAGAGAGAUUCAUCUAUGUCCAGACAUGACUUUCUGGCACUUAUGUCAUGAUCUUCUCUUGUUUUAAUUUUCAUCCACUUGGAAGGCGGUGGAGGGGGGUCAUCAGGACACAAUAUUAUUUUUUAAAUUUUUUAUUUAAGUAUAGUUGAUUUACAAUGUGGUGUCCAUUUCUGCUGUUCAGCAAAGAAGGAGGAAAUAUUCAGUGCUUGGGAUUUCAAAGGUCUGAUUUGACCCCAGAUGCAAAGUCACCACACCACAGAACAAGUCGGGGUGUUGGAUAUUUUUUUAUUACGAUUUACAAUGUUCUGUCAAUUUCUGCUCCACAGCAAAGUGGCCCAGUUAUACAUUUAUAUACAUUCUUUUUUUUACACUAUCCUCCAUCAUGUUCCAUCAAAAGUGAUUAGAUAAAUAGUUUCCUGUACUGUACAGCAGGAAGUGUGUUGGAUAUUAAUAUGGCAGAGACCAUUGUGACAAUAAUGAGAUCCAAGAACUGGGGUUCUUUGUGCAGCUCGAAAUUGUGAGAGAAGCCCUUACAUCUUCGUGAUGACAUUUGGUCACGCAGCAAAUAUUUCUUGAGCUGCCUUCAGCACUGGGGCUAUCCUAGUGAACACAGCAGAUGAAACUGCCUGCCCCGUAAUCUGGCAAGGGAACCCAGACCAUAAACACAUUAAGUAAAUAAAAUAUGUCCACAGUGGGCAGACUAUUGGCUGAUCCUGAGCCCUCUCAGAAUAAGGCGCAAGAUAAUACCUUCCUUGGGUGGAACAACUUUGCGGUGUCCACACUGCCAAGACAGAGUUUGGGCACUGUAAGCCUUACUAUAUAUAUAACUAGCAUGUUAGACAGAUUCUUUGUUAAAAUCGAGUAAAUUUUGUAGUAGACUCUGUUGGUCAGCUCAACAGCCAUUACCGAACAUUUUCUUCUUUGCAUGGUAGAGAUCCCCAUAUAAUCCAUUUCUGGUCAUUCAAAUAUAUAGGUACCUUCUGGGAAAUGCAUAAGGAGAGAGGCAUAAACAUUGCCAGUUCUGUAUUUGCACUUGAUAAUGUGAAGAUGUGAUUUCAGGAGCUGUGGUAGCCUUUUUGCGAGCAUGAGUAUUCAUGCCAAAGGGCAAAAGCCAUAAGAUGACCAAAUACAAGGACCAAAUGCACCUUGGCCCUGAAACCCUAAGCAGCAGAAUUAACAGUGGGACUACCUAUCCACCUUUGAUUCAGUUUUCUUUGAAUUGCAGUCGAAAGUAUCUUUAACAUAUAUUUUUAAAGCAAACAUAGCCCAUUAAAACACUGAGGCAUCCACCAAAAGACUUGAUUAAAAUGUGUAUAGCGGCUGUAUUCAUAGUAGCCCAAACCAGAAACAGCUGAGAUGUCACCAAUAGAAUAAAUAAACUGUGAUAUAUUCACAUAGGGGAACCCUGCUCAGCAAUAGAAAGGAACAGAGCUGGUCUGCAUAACUACACGGAUGACUUUCAAGUGCAUUAAGCCAAGAAAAAGAUGCACAAAGGAUGAGGUCCUGGAGUUCCUGUCGUGGCUCAACAGAAACAAACCUGACUAGUAACCAUGAGGAUGCAGGUUGGAUCCCUGGCCUUGGCUCAGUGGAUUAAGGAUCCAGUGUUGCAGUGAGCUGUGGUGUAGAUCGCAAACCUGGUUUGGAUCUGGCAUUGCUGUGGCUGUGGUGUAGGCCAGCAGCUACAGCUCCAAUUAGACCCCUAGCCUGGGAACCUUCAUAUGCCAAAGGUGAGGCCCUAAAAAGCAAAAAAAAAAAAAAAAAAAANAA